rnacentral:lncRNA from 1 species
GAGAGAUUAUGUGUCUGCUGAAGAGCCCCCAGCCUGGUGGUCAGGGCCUCCUGGUGGAGGCGUCCAUCCAAGGGCUUUCCCUUUGUUCUCUUCCUUCACUAAGUUGUGCGUGCGUGUGUGUGUGUGCACACGCCUCUAUGAGUGUGCUGGAAACUGGGCAUGAGCAACAAAUGGGUAUGGCUGGGGGGAGGGGUGCAGAGCAGAGGCAGCGCAGCCAGGAAUCUACACUCAAACUAUCAAGAGGAAGGAAGUAGCAGCGAAAAUAGCCUGGGUGCGGUGGUAGGAAAUAUUAAGGGGAAAAACGAGAUGCCUGGCGUCGGGGUGAAGAAGAGCUCCUAAAAACGCGGGCAUGUGUGGGGAAGGAAUUGUGUGUUGUUGAAACUUCAAAUCCAGAAUGUGAGCAGUGGGCAGGCCGCGCUGGAGGAAGCCGAUCAAGACACAGAACGUUCAGCUUAACAAAGAAAUGACGCUGGCCAGCAACCGGAGCCUGGCAGAAGGAAACCUUUUGUACCAGCCCCAACUGGAUGCUCUGAAAGCACGUUUGACCCAAAAAUACCAGGAACUUCAGGUUCUCUUUGAAGCCUAUCAGAUAAAGAAGACCAAAUUAGCUUCCUGGAAAGUCAGCUCUCAGAAGGUUUGACUCUCCUAGUGCCUUUCCAGUUACAAGGCACUCCUCCUCUGGCAGGGGAGGGAAGGAGGCGGAGGAGCAGGUUUGAAGGGCUGGGGGUCGUGCCCCUCUCAUCG